rnacentral:tRNA from 1 species
UAAGAAUUAGUUAAAAAAUAAUACAAACUUGUCAUGUUUGAGUUGUAAUUACAUUCUUAA